AUGGAAAGCUCACUGCAAGGUAAAAUCAAAAUAUCACAAAUGAUGGAUGAAUACAAAGAUCAACAAUUUUCAGAUGAAAAGAACUCCACAUUUGAUUGUGGAAUCGAAGAGAGGUCGAGAGUCAUUGUGGAACAAGAACUACAAGUUGAUGAUGAAGACCGGAGGCUCUCAGCUCACUCAACAAGUGAAACUGAAAACCAAACGUUGACUGCAGCUAUCCAAGAUUCUGAUGGCGAUUUGGAAGACGACUGUGAUAUUCAUGAUGGAGAGUUGCAACCCACAAGUUUAUCAAAUAAACUUGUCAAAAGAAGGAAAGCCCAAAAAAGACAUGCAGACAAUGAUGGUGACAGGGGAUUGCUGAACUUGUCUGUGGAAGAGAAACAUGGCAAAGGACAAAACUCUAUUACAACUCUCAAUGAGGACAGUGACGGAGAUGAGUAUGGAGAAAAGCCUUUUGGGAUUUCUUCCACAAGCCCGGUCCAAAGAAAGAAAAUGAAAACCAAGCAUGGAGUGGCUGCUGCUGAUCCUGCUCAAUGCGGUCAUUUGCAAAUUAAAGGGAAGACCCCAUGGAAUGAGCAGGAGAAGCUGGCAGUUAAGCAACACUUGGCUGUUUUUGCGGAAGGUGCCAGGAAAAAAGACUGUAUCCUAUGCAUUGAAAAAUCCUCUCCUGUUCUCCAAAAGAGAACCUGGAAAGAUGUGAAAUAUUGUGUAUAA
rnacentral:lncRNA from 1 species